AUGAACGCAAUGGAGCCCGCGGAAGAGGUGGAGAUUUGGGCGCCCAUCUUGGCUGACCCUCUUGAUUGGCCUCCAUCUUCUGUCACUGUUCUUCUUCCAAGUCAGGUGGAAGAAUAUUUUAGUUCUAUGUAUGGCGUUGAUGACAUGGAGAUCAAACAAUUUGCACAAGAGCCCGAAGGUGAGCAAUGGCGCCAGCAAUAUCUGGGAGACCUCAUAGUAAAGGAAAAUUGGAGGCGUGGCCCACGAGGUCCUCGCAGGAGGAGGGUAUUUCCUUCAGGAAGCGGAGGAAUGAAUUUUCACCGUCGGAAAAACAACGAACAUUGGACACAUGAAGAAGUGAAGAAGCUGGUUAAGGGUGUCAAGACAUAUGGUGCUGGGAAAUGGACCAUGGUGAAGAGUCACUACUUCUCAUCGUCAGUUCGAGACCCAACACAUCUCAAGGACAAAUGGAGGAACCUUUUGAGAGCUUGUGGGGUCAUGUGCGCCUCCAAAAGGAAGGAAAAGGCACAAAAGACUAUGUUCCUGCCCCUAGAUACAAACUUGAUCGAACAGAUCCAAGGGUUAGCUAUUGAUUCAGCCUUCGCAUCCAAAAUGAAGAAAUGCCAUGGGAAAGGAACAAUCCGUCUGGAAAUGAUAACGAAAUGA
rnacentral:rRNA from 1 species